rnacentral:rRNA from 1 species
GCUCGUAGUUGGUUUCUGGUUGAUAGUUUAGGUCCGGCCGAUCAAAAGGCUGCGUAUCUUUCGCUAUCUGCCAUCCUAUCGUGGUUUUGGAGCGAUCCAGGAUUACGAUACAUUUACUUUGAAAAAAUUAGAGUGUUUAAAGCAAGCUUGCGCGAUGAAUACAUUAGCAUGGAAUAAUAAUAUAGGACUACGGGCCUAUUUUGUUGGUUUCUAGACCUGAAGUAAUGAUUGAUAGGGAUAGUUGGGGGUGCUAGUAUUGAGAGGCCAGAGGUGAAAUUCUUGGAUUCUCUCAAGACUAACUUAUGCGAAAGCAUCACCAAGGAUGUCUUCUUUUAAUCAAGAACGAAAGUGGGGGUCGAAGACGAUCAGAUACCGCCGUAGUCUUCACCUAAAACUUACCGACUAGGGAGCGUGAAAGUUGUUUAUUUACUUAUGGGGCACUGUAUGAAAAAACCAAAGCCUUGGGGUCUGGGGGGAGUAUGGCCCCAGGCUGAAACUUUAAAGGAAUUGACGGGAGGGCACCCCCCGGAGGGGGGGCCUGCGGUUUAAUUUUGAUUCAACCACGGGGAAAACUUACCCAGGCCCGGACAUAGGGGAGAAUUGACAGGAUUGAGAACCUUUCCUUGAAUCCUAUGGGUGGGG